UCGGGUUGUAAAGCUCUUUCGGCCGGGAAGAAAUCGCAUGAGUUAAUACCUGGUGUGGAUGACGGUACCGGAAUAAGAAGCACCGGCUAACUACGUGCCAGCAGCCGCGGUAAUACGUAGGGUGCGAGCGUUAAUCGGAAUUACUGGGCGUAAAGCGUGCGCAGGCGGUUUUUUAAGACAGGCGUGAAAUCCCCGGGCUUAACCUGGGAACUGCGCUUGUGACUGGAAGACUAGAGUAUGGCAGAGGGGGGUGGAAUUCCACGUGUAGCAGUGAAAUGCGUAGAGAUGUGGAGGAACACCCAUGGCGAAGGCAGCCCCCUGGGCCAAUACUGACGCUCAUGCACGAAAGCGUGGGGAGCAAACAGGCAUUAGAUACCCUGGUAGUCCACGCCCUAAACGAAUGUCAACUA
rnacentral:rRNA from 1 species